rnacentral:rRNA from 1 species
GACGAACGCUGGCGGCGUGCUUAACACAUGCAAGUCGAACGAUGAAGCCGGAGCUUGCUCCGGUGAAUUAGUGGCGAACGGGUGAGUAACACGUGAGUAACCUGCCCUUGACUCUGGGAUAACUGCGGGAAACUGUAGCUAAUACCGGAUACGACCCUCGGAGGCAUCUCCUGGGGGUGGAAAGAAUUUCGGUCAAGGAUGGACUCGCGGCCUAUCAGCUAGUUGGUGAGGUAAAGGCUCACCAAGGCGACGACGGGUAGCCGGCCUGGGAGGGUGACCGGCCACACUGGGACUGAGACACGGCCCAGACUCCGACGGGAGGCAGCAGUGGGGAAUAUUGCACAAUGGGCGCAAGCCUGAUGCAGCAACGUCGCGUGAGGGAUGACGGCCUUCGGGUUGUAAACCUCUUUUAGCAGGGAAGAAGCGAAAGUGACGGUACCUGCAGAAAAAGCACCGGCUAACUACGUGCCAGCCGCCGCGGUAA